rnacentral:rRNA from 1 species
UGGGAUGAUGUCAAGUCAGCAUGGCCUUUAUAUCCUGGGCUACACACACGCUACAAUGGCCAACACAAUAGGUUGCUAAGCCGCGAGGUGGCGCCAAUCCAUAAAGUUGGUCUCAGUUCAGAUUGUAGGCUGCAACCCGCCUGCAUGAAGAUGGAGUUGCUAGUAACCGCAGGUCAGCUAUACUGCGGUGAAUACGUUCCCGGGGCUU